rnacentral:rRNA from 1 species
CCGCGGUAAUACGUAGGGCGCAAGCGUUAUCCGGAAUUAUUGGGCGUAAAGAGCUCGUAGGCGGUUUGUCGCGUCUGCUGUGAAAUCCCGAGGCUCAACCUCGGGCCCUGCAGUGGGUACGGGCAGACUAGAGUGCGGUAGGGGAGAUUGGAAUUCCUGGUGUAGCGGUGGAAUGCGCAGAUAUCAGGAGGAACACCGAUGGCGAAGGCAGAUCUCUGGGCCGUAACUGACGCUGAGGAGCGAAAGGGUGGGGAGCAAACAGGCUUAGAUACCCUGGUAGUCCACCCCGUAAACGUUGGGAACUAGUUGUGGGGACCAUUCCACGGUUUCCGUGACGCAGCUAACGCAUUAAGUUCCCCGCCUGGGGAGUACGGCCGCAAGGCUAAAACUCAAAGGAAUUGACGGGGACCCGCACAAGCGGCGGAGCAUGCGGAUUAAUUCGAUGCAACGCGAAGAACCUUACCAAGGCUUGACAUAUACGAGAACGGGCCAGAAAUGGUCAACUCUUUGGACACUCGUAAACAGGUGGUGCAUGGUUGUCGUCAGCUCGUGUCGUGAGAUGUUGGGUUAAGUCCCGCAACGAGCGCAACCCUCGUUCUAUGUUGCCAGCACGUAAUGGUGGGAACUCAUGGGAUACUGCCGGGGUCAACUCGGAGGAAGGUGGGGAUGACGUCAAAUCAUCAUGCCCCUUAUGUCUUGGGCUUCACGCAUGCUACAAUGGCCGGUACAAAGGGCUGCAAUACCGUAAGGUGGAGCGAAUCCCAAAAAGCCGGUCCCAGUUCGGAUUGAGGUCUGCAACUCGACCUCAUGAAGUCGGAGUCGCUAGUAAUCGCAGAUCAGCAACGCUGCGGUGAAUACGUUCCCGGGUCUUGUACACACCGCCCGUCAAGUCAUGAAAGUCGGUAACACCUGAAGCCGGUGGCCCAACCCUUGUGGAGGGAGCCGUCGAAGGUGGGAUCGGUAAUUAGGACUAAGU